GACGAACCGUGCGAACGUUAUUCGGAAUCACUGGGCUUAAAGCGCGUGUAGGCGGGUCGGAACGUCGGCCGUUGAAAUCCCCCGGCUCAACCGGGGAAGGGGCGCCGAUACGACCGACCUGGAGCGACGUAGGGGGAACUGGAACUUCCGGUGGAGCGGUGAAAUGCGUUGAGAUCGGAAGGAACGCCCGUGGCGAAAGCGAGUUCCUGGACGUCGGCUGACGCUGAGGCACGAAGGUCAGGGGAGCAAACGGG
rnacentral:rRNA from 1 species